rnacentral:lncRNA from 1 species
GACGGAGGCCGGGAGGCAGAUGGUGGGGGGGGACAGUUUUCCAGGGAGAGCAUUCAGAACCCCUGUUGAGGGAAGGAGUGGGGCAGGCUGGUGAAGGGAGAGUCAAGGUGAAGAGCUGCUCUCGCCGGUGUCACCAUGUCUCCGAGACUCCUCGUGUCAGUUCUCAGCGCCUCCUCCUCCGGCCUGGCCUACACAUGGUGGAGCCGGGUCCCAGAGGAGAGCGAGCCGGCUGUGCCCUAGAGGCACGUCCCCUAGGAGAGGGGUCAGGAGACAAACCACGGAACACUCAGUGCUGCGCGAGGGGGCUGUGGGAACCUGGAGGAGAGGCCGUACACAGCCCAGAUUUGGGGAACCAGAGAAGGCUUCUUGGAGGAGGUGCCUUAAGCUGAGCCCCAAAGGCUGAGGAGGUAUUUUGCACAAGAGAGAGGAGGAAGUAAAGGUGUGGGGCAGUGAAAAGGUGCUCAGAGCCCUGGAGGAAAUAGGAGGCUCCCAGAACCCAGAGUGGGGAGGGGACAAUGAGAAACGAAGCUGGAGAGAAGAGCUGGCGGGCGGGGCGGCUCCCUGAGGGCCUCGGAGGCCCCGCUGAGGGGUUUCCACUCACUUCUGAGUACGCUGGCUUUCACAAGGAGGGGGAUGUUCUGCUUUUUAAGCAGCAGAACAAAAUUUCCUGUGAAAGCCCGACCUGUAAUGCAGGUGAGAGGAGAGCAGCAGCGGGGGCGGGGGGCCCAUGGCCCUGAGGGGACACCCUGGAAAAGACAGGGCUGUGGCUCUGGCCUGUUUGAGCAAGAAAGGACCUCAGAGCAGCCACCUUCAUUGCAAACUCAUCGCAAGGACGCUAGUGGGUUCCAGCAGGAAAGACCCGGCCCUCAGAGGCCCUAUAAAUACCUCUUCUUCUAAAGCAUCCUUCACGUCACAAUUCAGUGCUCAUUGAUCGAGCACCUGUGGGAGACCUUACAGUGUAGAGGUUAAGGGCACAGACCCAGGGGCCUGACUUCCUGGGCCUGCCACUUGUUAGCUGUGUGACCUUGGGCGUGUUGCUUAAUCUCUCUGAGUCUCUCUUUCUGUAUCUGCAAAAUGGGAAUGGUAGUCAUGGAACCAUUGGCUUAGUUCAGUCAAGUCAUUGAACUGUCAUGAGGAUUAAAUGAGUUAAUACAUGGAAAGUGUGGAGAAGAGUGCCUGGUGCAUAAUAAGGCUCUGUAAGGGGCACUUUCAUAGAAUAUAUCUCAUUUGAUCUCUAACAAAACUUGGCGAGGAAAGUGAGGCUCAGAGAGGUGAAGUGACUUGUACAAGGUCACACAGCAGGUCAGUGGAGGAGACAGAGGGAGUGGUCAGGUAUGGGUGACUCUGAGUCCAGUGCUCUUGGAGGGUUUUACGUGUCCCUCCUUGUUAACGCUUUGUAUGUAACUUCUGUGCAUUUAUUUGCAUCCCCAGUGCCCAGCACAGAGCCAGACAGGAGGGGGCAUUCAGUAAAGGUGUGAAUGAAUGAAUGAAUGAAAUUGGUGGAUUGAUCUGUGUGUUCCUAGCA